rnacentral:RNase_P_RNA from 1 species
CCGGCCGUCCGGCCCGCCGCUGUGCCCGCCUCCGGCGGGUGCAGAGGAAAGUCCGGACUCGCGAGGGCCCGGGUGGAGACAUCCGGGUCCGGAAAGGCCGCUCAGGCUAACAACCUGAGGGGCGGUGUGGCGCAAGCCCGCCGCCACGUCAAGUGCAACAGAGAGUAGACCAGCCGAUGGCCCGGGGGAGUUUCCCUGGGCACAGGUGAUGGGUGAAAGGGUGGGGUAAGAGCCCACCGGCGGUAUCCCGUGAGGGACCGGCCAGGUAAACUACCGGUGCGAGCAAGCCAAAUUGUCCGGAAGAUUCCGGACUGGUAGGCGCGGCCUCUCUCAGAGAGGCCCGGGGGGACGGCCUCCCGGAGAUGGAUGGCGGGAUAGAACAGAAUCCGGCUUACGGGGCGGCCGGGCGC